CCUACGGGAGGCAGCAGUCGAGAAUCAUUCACAAUGGGGGAAACCCUGAUGGUGCGACGCCGCGUGGGGGAAUGAAGGUCUUCGGAUUGUAAACCCCUGUCAUGUGGGAGCAAAUUAAAAAGAUAGUACCACAAGAGGAAGAGACGGCUAACUCUGUGCCAGCAGCCGCGGUAAUACAGAGGUCUCAAGCGUUGUUCGGAAUCACUGGGCGUAAAGCGUGCGUAGGCUGUUUGGUAAGUCGUGUGUGAAAGGCGCGGGCUCAACCCGCGGACGGCACAUGAUACUGCGAGACUAGAGUAAUGGAGGGGGAACCGGAAGUCUCGGUGUAGCAGUGAAAUGCGGAGAUAUCGAGAGGAACACUCGUGGCGAAGGCGGGUUCCUGGACAUUAACGGACGCUGAGGCACGAAGGCCAGGGGAGCGAAAGGGAUUAGAUACCCGUGUAGUC
rnacentral:rRNA from 1 species